UCCUACGGGAGGCAGCAGUGAGGAAUAUUGGACAAUGGUCGAGAGACUGAUCCAGCCAUGCCGCGUGCAGGAAGACGGCCCUACGGGUUGUAAACUGCUUUUGUACGGGAAGAAUAAUGCCCACGUGUGGGCAGAUGACGGUACCGUACGAAUAAGGACCGGCUAACUCCGUGCCAGCAGCCGCGGUAAUACGGAGGGUCCAAGCGUUAUCCGGAAUUAUUGGGUUUAAAGGGUCCGCAGGCGGGCCAGUAAGUCAGAGGUGAAAGUUUGCGGCUUAACCGUAAAAUUGCCUUUGAUACUGCUGGUCUUGAGUUGCGGUGAAGUGGCCGGAAUAUGUGGUGUAGCGGUGAAAUGCAUAGAUAUCACAUAGAACACCGAUUGCGAAGGCAGGUCACUAACCGCCGACUGACGCUGAUGGACGAAAGCGUGGGGAGCGAACGGGAUUAGAUACCCCGGUAGUCCACGCCGUAAACGAUGGACACUAGCUGUCGGGCCAAUUUGGUUCGGCGGCCCAGCGAAAGUGAUAAGUGUCCCACCUGGGGAGUACGUCGGCAACGAUGAAACUCAAAUGAAUUGACGGA
rnacentral:rRNA from 1 species